rnacentral:rRNA from 1 species
GAUGAACGCUGGCGGCGUGCUUAACACAUGCAAGUCGAACGGAAAGGCCCAAGCUUGCUUGGGUACUCGAGUGGCGAACGGGUGAGUAACACGUGGGUGAUCUGCCCUGCACUUCGGGAUAAGCCUGGGAAACUGGGUCUAAUACCGGAUAGGACCACAUUUUGGAUGGUGUGGUGGAAAGUUUUUCGGUGUGGGAUGAGCUCGCGGCCUAUCAGCUUGUUGGUGGGGUAAUGGCCUACCAAGGCGUCGACGGGUAGCCGGCCUGAGAGGGUGUACGGCCACAGUGGGACUGAGAUACGGCCCAGACUCCUACGGGAGGCAGCAGUGGGGAAUAUUGCACAAUGGGCGCAAGCCUGAUGCAGCGACGCCGCGUGGGGGAUGACGGCCUUCGGGUUGUAAACGCCUUUCGCUAGGGACGAAGCGUUAUGUGACGGUACCUGGAGAAGAAGCACCGGCUAACUACGUG